GACGAACGCUGGCGGCGUGCCUAAUACAUGCAAGUCGAACGCUGAAGGAGGAGCUUUGUUCUCUGGACGAGUUGCGAACGGGUGAGUAACGCGUAGGUAACCUGCCCGGUAGCGGGGGAUAACUUUUGGAAACGAUGGCUAAUACCGCAUAAUAGUUGAUGUUGCAUGACAUUUGCUUAAAAGUUGCAGUUGUAUCACUACCAGUUGGACCUGCGUUGGAUUAGCUUGGUGGUGGGGUAACGGCUCACUAUGGCGACGAUGCAGAGCCGAACUGUGUGGGGGAGUAGCCGCCCUGGGACGGUGACACGGCCCAGACGGCUUCGGGGAGGAGCAAUAGGGAAACGUGAGGAAGGGGUGGAAGUCAGACCGAACAACGCCGCAGGAGGGAAGAAGGAUGUCGGGUCGGAAAGCACGGUUGUAAGGGAAGAAAGAGUUUUAGAGUGGAAAGUUCACGCAGUGACGGUAACUGAUAAGAAAGGGACGGCUAACUACGUG
rnacentral:rRNA from 1 species